AGGGUUUGAUCCUGGCUCAGAUUGAACGCUGGCGGCAGGCCUAACACAUGCAAGUCGAACGGUAACAUUUCUAGCUUGCUAGAAGAUGACGAGUGGCGGACGGGUGAGUAAUGCUUGGGAACUUGCCUUUGCGAGGGGAAUAACAGUUGGAAACGACUGCUAAUACCGCAUAAUGUCUUCGGACCAAACGGGGCUUCGGCUCCGGCGCAAAGAGAGGCCCAAGUGAGAUUAGCUAGUUGGUAAGGUAACGGCUUACCAAGGCGACGAUCUCUAGCUGUUCUGAGAGGAAGAUCAGCCACACUGGGACUGAGACACGGCCCAGACUCCUACGGGAGGCAGCAGUGGGGAAUAUUGCACAAUGGGGGAAACCCUGAUGCAGCCAUGCCGCGUGUGUGAAGAAGGCCUUCGGGUUGUAAAGCACUUUCAGUUGUGAGGAAAAGUUAGUAGUUAAUACCUGCUAGCCGUGACGUUAACAACAGAAGAAGCACCGGCUAACUCCGUGCCAGCAGCCGCGGUAAUACGGAGGGUGCGAGCGUUAAUCGGAAUUACUGGGCGUAAAGCGCACGCAGGCGGUUUGUUAAGCUAGAUGUGAAAGCCCCCGGGCUCACCCUGGGAUGGUCAUUUAGAACUGGCAGACUAGAGUCUUGGAGAAGGGAGUGGAAUUCCAGGUGUAGCGGUGAAAUGCGUAUAUAUCUGGAGGAUCAUCAGUGGAGACGCGACUCCCUGGUCAACACUAACGCUGAUGUACGAAAGUGUGAGUAGCGAACAGGAUUACUACUCUGGUACUCCACACGUAAUCGCUGUCUACUGUCUUGUGUGUGUCUGUAUGUGUGCAUACACACUAAGCCGAUAGCUGGACGCUAGGCAGUCGGCCGCAGGUUAUACUGAAUGGAUCGCCGGUCCUGACAGCGGAGUACUGAGCUUAGUCGAUCAUCCGAC
rnacentral:rRNA from 1 species